CUCUCAGUGGCUACACGGAUGAGUUUUCUCCUCCACCUGGAGCCAGGGGAGGACGCUCAGGGCUGGAACCUGUGUAUGGAAGAUGCCCUCGGAGCUGGCAAAGACACUUCCCGGCUCACUAGUCAGGCUCCUGUGAACGCUCCUUUUAUGAAAACCUUAUUUCUGGGCCGUCUUUAUAGAAUUGCAUGAAUCUGCUCAUUUUAGAGAGAAUCUUCCACCUUCGAAAUGUGAUCACUCUGGCCUGCCUUGAGCAAGAAUCCUGUUGGUAACAAGAAGCCCGCGUCCUGGAUGUCUCCCCUUCACAACUUGCAUCUAUGGACCCUCUCACUCUGCCUGUUUAUUCUUCCGCAGCAAUGAUUUAUGUAUUCAGGGUUCAGCCCAGUCUUCCUUCCCUAUUAUAAUCACCUGGCAUCUAUCACAACAAUCCUGAAUAAAUUUAUCCUUAGC
rnacentral:lncRNA from 1 species